rnacentral:rRNA from 1 species
UACGGGGGGGGCAAGCGUUGUUCGGAAUUACUGGGCGUAAAGGGCUCGUAGGCGGCCAACUAAGCCGGAUGUGAAAUCCCCAGGCUUAACCUGGGAACUGCAUCCGAUACUGGAUGGCUUGAAUCCGGGAGAGGGAUGCAGAAUUCCAGGUGUAGCGGUGAAAUGCGCAGAUAUCAGGAAGAACACCUAUGGCGAAGGCGGCUCUCUGGGACGGUACUGACGCUGAGACGCGAAAGCGUGGGGAGCGAACAGG